GCUUUCCUUGUCGUUUUGGUGGUGUGGCUGGCUUUGCUCCACUUGCAAGGCAAUGAUCAGAGGGGUAAGGUUCUCUCCUGAACGGCUAAUGGUCAAUUAGGUGAUUCCAUCCAAUAAUUUUUCUUUAGGCGAACUCAAAAAAGCAUGAUAUAGUAUCAAGUCAUGUGCAUGAAUGAGUAGAACACAAUGCUCCCCAUGAUGCUGGCUGGUGCUGCAAAUUAGCAUUCAAAGAGUUUAUCUCAGCAACAUGAAAAUGCAUUCAUAAUUAAAGUCUUCUAUAGAAUAAAAACAUCAUUUCAUUUCUGGCUUUCUGCAGAAGGCAGUACAUAGCUAGUCAAGAGGGUUAGGAAAAGGCUGAGAUAUAAUCUGUUAUCUUGCAAUCAUGCAGCAGCUCCAAUAUUCAAAUGAGGUACGUGUCGAGAUUGUUUGAGCAAUGUAAAACAAUAAGAAUCCACUCAAGGGUACCUCUAUUUUUUCUAAACCUACUAUUCUUUUUUAUUUUUUUGAAUGGAACUUGCUGCUUUUGUUAGUCGCUUAACAAUGUUGAAAGAAUUAGAUCCUGCACAAAACCAGCUCUUCCAGCAGCUUGCCUCAUCCUUUUCUCCCUUUCUUCAUAACUUAAAGAAGGUCGAAACUGCAGGAAAAAGAGGCAGGCUGAAUGAGUCAAACUUUAAAUCCAAAUACAGUAUCUUCAGUGAAUGACCAUGCAUUAGUGUGCUAGGUAUUAAUUGCUAGCAAAAUUCUCAUUUUGAAUCAAAGCUCUCAGCUACCAGGAGAAAGAUAUGGCGAUUAGCUGCAAAGAAAAAUUUUCAACUGCGAUGAGUUGCUUGAGUGGAAAAUAAAAUUCCCUCGCACAGCACCAAAUCAGCAUGCUAAAAGGAGAAAGAACAGGGAAACUAAGUUAAGCCCCAAUUAAAAAUGGUGAAGCAACAGUAACUGCAUGUUAAAAUGAUAAGUUCCCCUAUGAUGGAUCAUUAGAGCUGCAUGAUGCAUGUUUAUCUAAAAAAUGAAGAAGUAAACAAACGCACAAAUGAAUUUGUUGCUCACCUUGAUCUCCUCAUAUAUGUUGGUGCUGCUUUUUUUGUGGGAGUAUCUUCCAUAUUUGUUACUAAAGAUUUUGAAUGUUUUCAAAUGCAGGGAAAUUCAAAAGAAGUGAUGAAAGGAAUGGGUCAGUAGCUGCAUUAGAUACAUUAGAAUUAAUUGACCUAUAUCCACCAGGUCCACCACUGCCUAAGAGAACUUGCAAAUGCGCUUCACGAAGAUCCCGUCCAAGUAAAGACAAUGCCUGGCUAUUAGUUAUUGCAAUUCUACGUGAUCAGUGAUGUCUCUGCAAGUAAUAUCCAGUUAAAGGAAACUUGGAAAAUAGUUUGAUUUUGUUAAUAGGCAUAAGAUCAACAUUAUCAGCAUACUACUCAUAGAGCAAAAAACAUUUGCUUCGGAAGUCUCCAUUUUAAGGAUAUCUUAAACAAGUGUCUAUGUUGCAGGGUGAUAUGACUUAGCAUGUCUCUUGCAACUUUAACAGAGCAAAUAGGAC
rnacentral:lncRNA from 1 species